rnacentral:rRNA from 1 species
AUUGAACGCUGGCGGCAUGCCUUACACAUGCAAGUCGAACGGUAACAGGUCUUCGGACGCUGACGAGUGGCGAACGGGUGAGUAAUGCAUCGGAACGUGCCCAGUCGUGGGGGAUAACUGCUCGAAAGAGCAGCUAAUACCGCAUACGACCUGAGGGUGAAAGCGGGGGACCGUAAGGCCUCGCGCGAUUGGAGCGGCCGAUGUCAGAUUAGCUAGUUGGUGGGGUAAAGGCCUACCAAGGCAACGAUCUGUAGUUGGUCUGAGAGGACGACCAGCCACACUGGGACUGAGACACGGCCCAGACUCCUACGGGAGGCAGCAGUGGGGAAUUUUGGACAAUGGGCGCAAGCCUGAUCCAGCAAUGCCGCGUGCAGGAAGAAGGCCUUCGGGUUGUAAACUGCUUUUGUCAGGGAAGAAAUCUUCUGGGCUAAUACCCCGGGAGGAUGACGGUACCUGAAGAAUAAGCACCGGCUAACUACGU